UACGGAGGGGGCUAGCGUUGUUCGGAAUUAUUGGGCGUAAAGAGCGUGUAGGCGGCCAGGUAGGUCUGCUGUGAAAACUCGAGGCUCAACCUCGAGACGUCGGCGGAAACCAUCUGGCUAGAGUCCGGAAGAGGAGAGUGGAAUUCCUGGUGUAGCGGUGAAAUGCGCAGAUAUCAGGAAGAACACCCGUGGCGAAGGCGGCUCUCUGGGACGGUACUGACGCUGAGACGCGAAAGCGUGGGGAGCGAACAGG
rnacentral:rRNA from 1 species